AAAUGACUCUCGGCAACGGAUAUCUCGGCUCUUGCAUCGAUGAAGAACGUAGCGAAAUGCGAUACUUGGUGUGAAUUGCAGAAUCCCGUGAACCAUCGAGUCUUUGAACGCAAGUUGCGCCCGAAGCCAUUAGGUUGAGGGCACGCCUGCCUGGGUGUCACACAUCGUUGCCCCAAUGCCAAUGCCUCUCACGGGGUUAGAGCAGGGCGAAUGCUGACUUCCCGCGAGCACUGCCUCGUGGUUGGUUGAAAAAUGAGUCCUCGGCGGAAUGCCCCAUGAUAAAUGGUGGUUGAGUAAUGCUCGAGACCAAUCAUGCAUGGCUUCCCAUCGGACACGGACUGCGUGACCCUUUCGUUCUUCUGAACGCUCACAAUGAGACCUCAGGUCAGGCGGGGCUACCCGCUGAGUUUAAGCAUAUCAAUAAGCGGAGGAAAAGAAACUAACAAGGAUUCCCCUAGUAACGGCGAGCGAACCGGGAAGAGCCC
rnacentral:rRNA from 1 species